UCCAUGCACAGCGUUUUAAUGUCUUGUUUUUACCUUAGUUUUUACACGUAGAUGCAAAAAGAGGAAGCCUGGGCAUCUGGAUAUCCACAGGGUGACGCGCUAACGGUGAAUUCUCCAUCAAGCUGKUUUUGAGUGGCAACAGUUUAAGAUGGUGGACUGCAACUGCAUCGUGUGGGGCUUAUUUUGGCUCCUUGUGCUGGUGUUUUUAGGCUGGCCCAUAAGCAUAGCCUUGUGCUCCCUCUAUGGAUUCCUUUCGCCUCUCACUACAUUGAUAGGACUGGAUUCGUUCAGUGAAGUGCUGCUGAAGGGCGCGAGUUUGGGGAGGCAGUGCGCUCAGAACGCGCACAGCGGCAAGGCCCUGUGCUGAGCAACGAGGACGGCCCCACGUGCUGCUGCAUGCUACCAGCUUUCGUUCUUUACUCUGUUGACCUUGCAUGUUCUCCAUUGUAGCCCAGCUUUUCUCAGUUUACAACUGCGUACUUUUCAUUUGAAGUUGUCUGUAAGUGUCUGUAAGAAAACUUAAUAAUCUAGCAGUUGCUCUUCUAAAAUAUACGAUAAAAGUUYGGGGUACUGUUCUGAAGAAAGGAAUACCAAUAUUUGGUAAAUUACUUAUUUGGAAAAUAAGUAAUUCCAAAUAUUUAGAGACACUAGCUAAGUAUGUAUCUCUCAGGAUGURAGCUCUGUGCCAAACCUAGUUAAAUAGUUGAAAACCCUGCCUCAGAGGUAGAAUGCACCUAGGAUGUCUGAUUAGGUUGCUUGAGAAGGGUAGAUUGUGAAUGUUAUUUGGAAUGUUAUUUUUGUGACUAUUUUAAUCCACACAGUAUUAAGUAAUAAGAGAAGUUCUGAUCUGAUAGCCUUGCUGUAUGUA